rnacentral:siRNA from 1 species
UGAGCUUGUUUAAACACUUCU